AAGUCGUAACAAGGUUUCCGUAGGUGAACCUGCGGAAGGAUCAUUAACACGUAUCCAACGUAAAAACAACCCUGUGAACCUUCAAACGUGAUCGCCUAGCAAUCCCUGGUAAAUCAUUGUUGACCAGCUAUUGAGUCAGGGACCUCUAGGCUAUGGAUCAUCGGAUAAAGCGGCCUGGCAUCCUAGCAAUCUGUCAGUGGUUGCGCAAGGAUGGCGCAGUAAACGAUUGCUGGAGGCCCACACGGCCGGCGACCGGGCCUCUGUGCCUUGUGCACCUAAUGACCCCAAUGUUUCUGACCCGGUGCGCUGUAAGAACCGCACCACAAACUCGAACAACUGUUAACAAUGGAUAUCUUGGUUCUC
rnacentral:misc_RNA from 1 species